GAUGAACGCUGGCGGCGUGCCUAAUACAUGCAAGUCGAGCGAACAGACGAGGAGCUUGCUCCUCUGACGUUAGCGGCGGACGGGUGAUUAACACGUGGAUAACCUACCUAUAAUACUGGGAUAACUUCGGGAAACCGGAGCUAAUACCGUAUAAUAUAUUGAACCUCAUUGUUCAAUAGUGAAAGACGGUUUUGCUGUCACUUAUCGAUGUAUCCGCGCCGCAUGAUCUAGUUGGAAAGGUAACGGCAUACCAAGGCGACGAUGCGUAGCAGACCUGAGAGGGAGAUCCCACACACUGGGACUGAGACAGGGACCAGACUCCUACGGGACGCAGCAGUGAGGAAGAGUGGUCAAUGGUCGGAAGACUGAACCAGCCAUGCCGCGUACAGGAAGAAUGCCUUAUGGGUUGUAAACUGCUUUUAUAUGGGAAGAAUAAGGCGUACGUGUACGUUGAUGACGGUACCAUAUGAAUAAGCAUGGGCUAACUCCGUG
rnacentral:rRNA from 1 species